UGGGGAAUUUUGGACAAUGGGGGAAACCCUGAUCCAGCCAUGCCGCGUGAGUGAAGAAGGCCUUCGGGUUGUAAAGCUCUUUCAGCCGGAACGAAACGGUCACGGUUAAUACCUGUGACUACUUACGGUACCGGAAGAAGAAGCACCGGCUAACUACGUGCCAGCAGCCGCGGUAAUACGUAGGGUGCAAGCGUUAAUCGGAAUUACUGGGCGUAAAGCGUGCGCAGGCGGUUUUGUAAGUCAGAUGUGAAAUCCCCGGGCUUAAGCUGGGAACUGCGUUUGAAACUACAAGGCUAGAGUGUGGCAGAGGGGGGUGGAAUUCCACGUGUAGCAGUGAAAUGCGUAGAGAGGUGGAGGAACACCGAUGGCGAAGGCAGCCCCCUGGGUUAACACUGACGCUCAGGCACGAAAGCGUGGGGAGCAAACAGG
rnacentral:rRNA from 1 species